AGCCACAUUCUCGGAUGAAACCUCCUCUUCCCCACCAAAAGGAAACACAGGCCCUCGCUGAACCAACUUUCCAGAACGCUCACCGGCAGGAUCCCGGAGGCCUCGAGGAACAAGGCGGAGUCUGGGCCACUCCCAACAGCAAGAACCCUUUUCCUUCGGGAGAAACGUCACAAAGGCCGCUCGCACAGUGACCACGAAGACCUCGCGGACGCGCCCUCCCAGCAGGACCACAGCGGCUCCGAGAGGGCAUCGCCGGCCCCAGCGGCCUGUCGGGCGGUCUAGGCGGAUGAGAACCGCGCGGCCCGGCCCUUAGGCGGCCCCAUCGGUGACUCCGACUAAAACCGGCCUUGAACUCCCUCCUCUGUCCUCUCGAUCACGCCUUCCCCAUCACAGCCAACCCACACCGGUUCACCAACAUCCCAACGUGCUCGACGCUGCGCGGAAGAGCAGGCGAAGAGAUUGCGGGCGAGCGUGUGACGCCACUUCCGCUUCCUGCCGGGAAUCGAGGGGCGGGGCUUCCACCUCCGACGGCUGCACCCGGCUUCCCUCGGGCGUGGACGAGGAGUGGCCCGCCGCGCUCGGCGCUGGGACUGAGGCCGGGAUCCGGCCCCAGGACACGGCUGGGGCAGGAACCCGAGAGAGUUCUUGAGUCAGGGAGAGGACCAGGGAAGAGGACCAGGGAAAGAGAGAAUCCUAAGCAGGUUUGACAGGGGCCUGCAUCCCAUAACCCCUGGUUUGAUGACCUGAGGCACCCCUCCCCUUAUUUCUUUUUGGUUACAUUGAACAUAAUGGUAAACUCUAAAUGAUUCCUUGUGUUUUCAAUGGAAUGACAAUCUUAUAAUCUUUCAUAUUUUUGCUCACAUAUAUAUUUUUAUUCUUGCUUUGUGAAAAAUCACUAACACUGGGCAUUCUCUUAUUCAGGAAUGGUUUCAAAGUUAUAUUUGCUGUGAUUUUGAGUGGGUUAUCUUUGUACAAGUAAUAAAUGAUCUUUUGAAAUACUGAUAUAAAACACAUUUCAUCCAGACUUGUUCAUGUGAAUCAUUAAAUGUUUUGUAUCCAUCUAUUGAA